rnacentral:rRNA from 1 species
UACGUAGGCAGCAAGCGUUGUUCGGAGUUACUGGGCGUAAAGGGUGUGUAGGCGGUUGUUUUAAGUUUGGUGUGAAAUCUCCCGGCUCAACUGGGAGGGUGCGCCGAAUACUGAAUGACUUCGAGUGCGGGAGAGGAAAGUGGAAUUCCUGGUGUAGCGGUAGAAAUGCGUAGAUAUCAGGAGGAACACCGGUGGUGUAGACGGCUUUCUGGACCGUAACUGACGCUGAGACACGAAAGCGUGGGUAGCAAACAGG